CGGGUGAGUAACACGUGGAUAACCUACCUAUAAGACUGGGAUAACUUCGGGAAACCGGAGCUAAUACCGGAUAAUAUAUUGAACCGCAUGGUUCAAUAGUGAAAGACGGUUUUGCUGUCACUUAUAGAUGGAUCCGCGCCGCAUUAGCUAGUUGGUAAGGUAACGGCUUACCAAGGCAACGAUGCGUAGCCGACCUGAGAGGGUGAUCGGCCACACUGGAACUGAGACACGGUCCAGACUCCUACGGGAGGCAGCAGUG
rnacentral:rRNA from 1 species